AUUAAUAAUUAAAUGGCUGCGGUAUUUUGACCGUGCAAAGGUAGCAUAAUCAUUAGUUUUUUAAUUGGGAACUGGUAUGAAAGGUCGAACGAAAAAAAAACUGUCUCAAUUUAAUUUAAAUUAGAAUUUUAUCUUUAAGUAAAAAAGCUUAAAUGAUUUUAAAAGACGAGAAGACCCUAUAGAGUUUUAUAUUUAAAUAUUUAUAUGAAAAAUUAAAGAAUUGUUUUUUUUUUGUAAUUAUUUAAUUAUUUAGUUGGGGCGAUUAAAAAAUUUAAAUAACUUUUUUUAAAUAAUAACAUUGAUUUAUGAAUAAGUGAUCCAUAUUUAAUGAUUAUAAGAUUA
rnacentral:rRNA from 1 species